rnacentral:rRNA from 1 species
GCGUGCUAACACAUGCAAGUCGAACGUGAAUGGGAGCAAUCCCUAGUAAAGUGGCGUACGGGUGAGUAACGCGUAGGUAAUCUACCCCAGAGUCUGGAAUAACCUGACGAAAGGCGGGCUAAUACUGGAUAGAGCGACGAAAUCCGUAAUCGGGUUUUUCGGGAAAGGGAGGAAGCAAUUCCCUUUGCUCUGGGAUGAGCCUGCGUCUCAUUAGCUAGUUGGUGAGGUAAUGGCUCACCAAGGCUUUGAUGGGUAGCUGGUCUGAGAGGAUGAUCAGCCACACUGGAACUGAAACACGGUCCAGACUCCUACGGGAGGCAGCAGUGGGGAAUCUUGCGCAAUGGACGAAAGUCUGACGCAGCCACGCCGCGUGAGUGAAGAAGGCCUUCGGGUUGUAAAGCUCUGUCGAGCGAGACGAAAAACAUAUAGGUGAAUAGCCUAUGUGUCUGACGGUACCGCUAAAGGAAGCACCGGCUAACUCCGU